ACGGGAGGCAGCAGCUAAGAAUCUUCCGCAAUGGUCGAAAGACUGACGGAGCGACGCCGCGUGAAUGAUGAAGGCCGUGAGGUUGUAAAGUUCUUUUCUGGAGGGAGAAUAAGGUAGGUAGGGAAUGACUUACUGAUGACGUGAAUCCAGGAAUAAGCCCCGGCUAACUACGUGCCAGCAGCCGCGGUAACACGUAGGGGGCGAGCGUUGUUCGGAAUUAUUGGGCGUAAAGGGCGCGCAGGCGGCUUGUCAAGUCUGCUGUUAAAUGGUUGAGCUUAACUCAAUCAUGCGGUGGAAACUAAUGAGCUAGAGUUAAUGAGGGGAUGUUGGAAUUCCAGGUGUAGGGGUGAAAUCUGUAGAUAUCUGGAAGAACACCAGUGGCGAAGGCAGACAUCUAGCAACUAACUGACGCUGAGGCGCGAAGGUGCGGGGAGCAAACAGGAUUAGAUACCCUGGUA
rnacentral:rRNA from 1 species